CACCGCCGCGGUAAUACGAAGGGGGCUAGCGUUGUUCGGAAUUACUGGGCGUAAAGCGCACGUAGGCGGACAUUUAAGUCAGGGGUGAAAUCCCGGGGCUCAACCCCGGAACUGCCUUUGAUACUGGGUGUCUUGAGUGUGGAAGAGGUCAGUGGAAUUGCGAGUGUAGAGGUGAGAUUCGUAGAUAUUCGCAGGAACACCAGUGGCGAAGGCGGCUGACUGGUCCACAACUGACGCUGAGGUGCGAAAGCGUGGGGAGCAAACAGGAUUAGAUACCCCUGUAGUCCCUGUCUCUUAUACA
rnacentral:rRNA from 1 species